rnacentral:rRNA from 1 species
UACGAAGGGGGCUAGCGUUGUUCGGAAUUACUGGGCGUAAAGCGCGCGCAGGCGGUUCUUCAAGUCAGUGGUGAAAGCCCGGAGCUCAACUCCGGAACUGCCAUUGAAACUGUAGAACUCGAGGAUGAGAGAGGUGAGUGGAAUUCCCAGUGUAGAGGUGAAAUUCGUAGAUAUUGGGAAGAACACCGGUGGCGAAGGCGGCUCACUGGCUCAUUUCUGACGCUCAGGCGCGACAGCGUGGGGAUCAAACAGG